CAGCCUCUACCGCUGGUUCCCCCCCCAUCCCCGCCGCCUCCCUCAGCGCGGCGGGGUUCGAGCUGCCGCCCGCUGCAGGCAGCGCCGCCGUGAGGGGCUGCCCCGCCACCGGGCCCUGCCGUUACCUGGGAGAGCCGGGGAAGACCUAGAGAGGGGGAAUCAGACCCUGUGCCCAGGACCUGGGUGGAAGUGCUCCAUGAUCACUGCUGUGUCAGUGAUAAGUAUCAGUGUACACUGCAUGGCACCCCACGAUGCUGAAGAGGAGACAGUGCUGAGGACCUGACCAAAUACACCUAUCCCAGACCUGACCUGCUUUGUGCUGGAGAUCCUGUCACUUUGCUGAAGUGAUGCAGAGGACAAAACCGUGAUGGAGGUCAAGUGCAGCAAUACGUGGCAAUGCACAGCCUGGACUAUGAAGGGAGCUAUUUUUAACCUGGAUGUGUUCUGUGAUUUGUUUCCCACACAGCAUUGAAACUGGCACAGCUGAGGGGUUGGCGGCAAUGAAGUUGCACCAAGAAGUCCAAGAGCAAUCAGGAGAGACUUCAGGGCUUCAGGAUGGUUGCUUAAGGGGUCAGGAGCACAGCAGUUCCUGAGGGAGAACAGACUGCAUUGUUUGUGAGCUUCAAUCCAGGUCAAGCAGGCCGGAUCUUCCACAGAGAAGUUGCUGACUUUGGCCCCAAAAUAUCAUUGUUAAGGAGCCAGCAGAGGCAACCCAGCUCCCAGGUCCUCCAGGAACCUCAUGGGACUGGCAAGAAAAGAAAAAAACACCUCAGGUGUGUUGGCCCCCGAAGAGGAGUUUUCAGCACGUAAUGUGUGGCCACACUGCCUGGCCUGUUUCCCAGCACUUAGUGAAAGGAAAGAGAUACAUCUUAUACAGUUGUUUCUCAUCUAGACUCCUGAGCACCUAACCAGAAAAGUCAGCACAACUUUCUCACUUACACUGAUGUCAGACUAGGGGAGUGAGUCUUGUGGCAAAAGGGACCAUCUGCAUCUCAAACUAAUUACCUGUUUUGAAAAGUGAAUAUACAAAGUGCAUUGCAGGCAGCAAAGGCAUCGCUGUGCUUUUACGAGAAAAAUCAAGAGCGCAAGAGCACAUUUUGAAGUGAAAGGCACAUUGUCAAUAAUUAUGCACGGUCUGGGUUUGUGCUGUCUCGCCACUCAUCCUUGGAUCCUACACCGAGUCCUGACUUUCUUAUGGCACAGAUAAUAACUUAAAAGAAAGAAACCCAACAGAAUUUCCACGAUCUAUAUCUACAGCAUCACACAUGGAAGACAUAACAUUUGAUGGUAAAUUUUUGCUUUGACGUUAUAGUAGAAGUUAAGGGAAAAGGUGUCAUCCUUGGCCUAGAGUUUCAUAAGUGCCACAGGCAGAUGGGCUCUUUUAAACCUUCUUCUCCUCUUCCAAAAGGAGAAACUCACAAUCUGGACUCAAUUGAACCUUAAAGCCAUAAAAUUCCAGGUUCCAAUAAAUCUUCAUUUUAUAAAAACACAUCCAGCAUAUAUCAUAACAGAAACCAUAAAAGAAAUUAAACAUGUGUGGGUCACAUACUCUGUUGGAGGCUCCUUAAUAGUUUUGCAAAAUCAGUGGAAUAAUGAGGUGCAGUUUUGCUCUAUGAAGUUAUGGUGUCUCCCUGCAGCACAGUUGGGCUGCCCAGGGUGCCCACCCAGAACAUAAGCAAACACAUGGGGAAGGGGCUGGCAGCUCCACUCCCACAUCUUCUCCAUCCUUCCCAGUGCAGAUAAGCUGGGCUGCAGCCAGCAUCCCCAAAGGCCCAAGGCCUGCGCUUGGCUUCAGAUGCUGGAGCGAUGGCCUGCUCCACACAGCCCAGUGGGCAUCCCACACAUCUAUCCUUUGGGGGACCCCGCAAAGUGGGCACUUGCUCCACCAGCCCCAGUGAGUGCCAAGGCCAUGGUGAACAAAAGCACUGUAAAAUCAAAGAAAAGGAUUUUAAAAAGCGAUAUCUGGGGGGAGGAUAUGCCUGCCUGUUCCUAUGAAGUGGAAAUGCAAAGCAAAACCAAAAGGAGCUGGGAUCACACUGCAGAGACACGGACUUUAACAAGGUCUUUUUCAGGGCUUUAAAAAAAUUAUUCAUGUGAUGUAAUCUUGACAUUUCCUGUCUCACUGGUGAGUUCCUCGGAUCAAACACCCGGAACGCCGGCAGCUUGUCACCACCUCGUGCAGCUCCUAUUACCCGCGGCAUCCCAUGGGACACAGGAGGAGAGAGGCGCAGGGGUCUGGGACAGCAGGCAGCACCCUGCACCCCUCUGCCUGUGCUCCUCCUUGCCCUAGCUGGGUGAUACACUGAACACACACCUUCCUUUUUAGAAAUUCCCCUUAAUUUUGAGGGUUGAGGUUUAAGGCUCCCUGCCAGAGGUCCUGCACCCAGAAGCCUUGGCAAGGAGACUAAAGCCUGUGAGGACCCUGGCAAGGACAGACCCUCAAACUUUAUAACAAUAUAUAAUCUAUGUUUUUCAAUCUAUCGUAUAAUGGCAAUUAUACAAAAUUCCAGGUGACUUGCUGGAGUAGUCAUGACCAAGUCCAAAAGUAAGCAAAGCUCUAUGAACUUUGGGAAUCUUCUCAUCAUGAAGAUUUGUCAAGGUUCUGCUAGCAGAAGCUGAAACUAGAAAGUUAGGGGGGAAAGGGGAAAAAAAAUCCAGCACACCUUAUUAGCAUUUUGUCAAGCAUUGGAACAGGCUUCCCAGGGAAGUGGUGGAGUUGCCAACCCUGGAGGUAUUUAAAGAUGUGUGUUGUGGCACUUUUUGGCAGUUCUGGGUUAACAGUUGGACUCAAUGGUCUUAAAGGUCCUUUCCAACCUAAGUGAUUCUAUGAUCUGAUGAUUUUAUGGAAGUAUUUCAGUUCAUAUUCAGAGCUCAUUUAACAUCUUAUUCUCCUGAAUUCGAGGCCUCAGGGAAAAUGCCUAUAAGAGCAAUGGGAUAUCUGUCCAGGAGAUUCAAAACUGUGGGUUGGAGCAGGAUUUCCUAGCAGUGGAAUGUGACAAGACUGCCAUGGAAUCUCAAUACCAGGAUGAGCAGUGGGUGGGUAGGUGGUGCAUCCUGGGUUUCCAAAAGGAGCCCCAAGAGCCCCACUCAACACCUGCCACUCAUGGGGAUGGGGGGGACAAUGGGGCCAUGUGGAUGAUGGACCGGUUGGGCUGGCAGGGAUGCAGUGGGGGAAAGUCCAGGAGUCAGGUCAUCUUGUACCAUUAUCUCUGCAAUUCUCUGAAUAGCCAGCACCACAAGCAUCCCUGCAUUUUCCAUCAACCCCUGGAAAUGGAAUACAUUAAAUCUGGCAGCUCAGUUACAACAACAAAAUAUGAAAGCACAGUCUUACUUACGCCCCGCUCUGACCACCACCCCCAGAAGUGCCGCUGGUAUAGGUAACAUUUUGCAGUUCCUGGUCUCAGAGUACCUGCUUCGAGUCACAGAAUCACAGAGCAUGUUGAGCUGGAAGGGACCUAGCAGG